CUCUUAUCCCGAGAGGUGGAGGGACUGGCCCAAUGAAACCCGGCAACCAUCCGGCAUUCCGGACAGGUGCUAAUUCCUGCAGAAGAUUUUCUUCUGGCAGAUAAGAG
rnacentral:ncRNA from 2 species